UAUCCCGAGGGACGCCGCGAGUGUUGUUUCUGUGUGAGGGUGGUGUGUGUGUCACAGCCCCGCUGCCAUGGGCACGGCUGGAACAGCACCUUCUGCUAGACCUGUGCUGCACUCUGACAACCAGCUCCUGCACCAUCCUACUCAAACACAACAAUUCCAGGCAACAGCUGGGAACAGAAUGCAGCUUUGUCUGCAAGAUUCAGGCAGUGCCAUUUCAUUUUAUCUGCCUACAAAAUCCUUCAUUUGGCAGCACCCAAGGAAAUGGAGAGGACACCGAUGACACCCAGGGCUGCUCACCAGCAGGAAAGGAGCAGAGGUCCAGCAACAGCUUUGUGGUUUGAGGAAAAGUGCCUGUGCCUGCCUGACACAUGGAGCUUUACAGGAGGGGAAUGCUCUGGGGAGCUCUUUGGCCUCUGCUGCUUUGUUUGUAUUAACACUCACUGAAGUGAUAGUAAUCUCAAACACUCGGGUCAUUUAGAUGGAAAAAUAAAAUACCACAGAAGUC